rnacentral:lncRNA from 1 species
UUCACAUGGUCUGUGAUGUGAACAAUGCCCCCUGGAAUGUGUAAUGAGAUGAGCCUGCCCAGAUUAGACUUUAAAACCAGCUUGACACCUCUCAUAUACCCUCUUUGACCAGACUGAACUUCCACACCACCAUUUUCCCUGGGGCCAAACUAGACAGAUUGCUUUUUACAAGUGAGUCCCCUGACCUGACUUCUGACUUUGUGAGGAAGAAGAGAAUAGCAGGGAUGCUGGUUUUCACUCUAAUCAGCCUUGAAGAUAACUUGGGUUUGUUUUUUUUUAAUUUUUUUUUUACAAACCUGGGAUCUUUAAUAUAGAGUAGAAUCCAUCUCUAGAGGAGGAAAAGCUAAAGGUGAGAAGAGUUUCCAUACGGAAAAAGGCUGUUAGAAGUGCUCCUCAUUCCCUGAGAAAACUUCCCAGUCGUCAUGGCUUCUUCCAUUUCCCUGGACAAGCUGCUCCAAAGUUAUUUCAAGAUGGUAGCAGUAGAAAGAUGGAUUACCUCUGUCAACAGGGAGUCCUAACGUCCUGCCAUUCACUGAGCAAAGAAACGUGUGCCUGCCAUGGGCGGCUGAUAAGGGAAGUGGACACAGGAUAAACUUCAGCCCAGCCAGCUGACAAAGCUCAAACACAGCCUUUGAGAAAACAGCAACUCCCGGGCCUCUGCUUUGUGAAGGCAAAGACUGUGGGCUUUGUUCGAUUCCCAGGCUGUUACCGUCUGCGAGGAGUGUGCAGUUCUGAGCUGCUGCUGGCUGCUGCAGAGGCAACAGGACAGUUUCCUCAUAGGGAGCUAGAAGCACCAGUUGUCCAGAAAGGGUCUUUCACCUCCAGUGUUUCACCUCUGUCCCCCAUCCCCAUCACAUGAGCCUCUCCAUUCCCAUUCAUGUUAAGGAGCACACCAUGACUUGUAAUGGGUUUCCCAAUGCAUAUUUCAGAACUAGAUAACCACUAGCACUCACUGGACCAUUUAGUAUGGGCUUAAUAAGAACAGUAAACGUCUUACAUGCAUAAUUUCAUUGAAUCUUCACAA